UGUCCAGAGAACAGCUAUAGCAUAGGCCAUAGCAGUGCAAGUUUCCCUACAUCACUUACUGCCAAAGUGCUUCAACCUUGCCCUAGAGUGACCACUUUUAGGCAUGACA
rnacentral:sRNA from 1 species